rnacentral:rRNA from 2 species
UUUAUGGAGAGUUUGAUCCUGGCUCAGGAUGAACGCUGGCGGCGUGCCUAAUACAUGCAAGUCGAGCGAACGGACGAGAAGCUUGCUUCUCUGAUGUUAGCGGCGGACGGGUGAGUAACACGUGGAUAACCUACCUAUAAGACUGGGAUAACUUCGGGAAACCGGAGCUAAUACCGGAUAAUAUUUUGAACCGCAUGGUUCAAAAGUGAAAGACGGUCUUGCUGUCACUUAUAGAUGGAUCCGCGCUGCAUUAGCUAGUUGGUAAGGUAACGGCUUACCAAGGCAACGAUGCAUAGCCGACCUGAGAGGGUGAUCGGCCACACUGGAACUGAGACACGGUCCAGACUCCUACGGGAGGCAGCAGUAGGGAAUCUUCCGCAAUGGGCGAAAGCCUGACGGAGCAACGCCGCGUGAGUGAUGAAGGUCUUCGGAUCGUAAAACUCUGUUAUUAGGGAAGAACA